GAUGAACGCUGGCGGCGUGCCUAAUACAUGCAAGUCGAGCGAACGGACGAGAAGCUUGCUUCUCUGAUGUUAGCGGCGGACGGGUGAGUAACACGUGGAUAACCUACCUAUAAGACUGGGAUAACUUCGGGAAACCGGAGCUAAUACCGGAUAAUAUUUUGAACCGCAUGGUUCAAAAGUGAAAGACGGUCUUGCUGUCACUUAUAGAUGGAUCCGCGCUGCAUUAGCUAGUUGGUAAGGUAACGGCUUACCAAGGCAACGAUGCAUAGCCGACCUGAGAGGGUGAUCGGCCACACUGGAACUGAGACACGGUCCAGACUCCUACGGGAGGCAGAAGUAGGGAAUCUUCCGAAAUGGGCGAAAGCCUGACGGAGCAACGCCGCGUGAGUGAUGAAGGUCUUCGGAUCGUAAAACUCUGUUAUUAGGGAAGAACAUAUGUGUAAGUAACUGUGCACAUCUUGACGGUACCUAAUAAGAAAGCCACGGCUAACUACGUG
rnacentral:rRNA from 1 species